rnacentral:rRNA from 1 species
UACAGAGGUCUCAAGCGUUGUUCGGAUUCAUUGGGCGUAAAGGGUGCGUAGGUGGCGCUGUAAGUCGGGUGUGAAAUUUCGGAGCUUAACUCCGAAACUGCAUUCGAUACUGCGGUGCUUGAGGACUGGAGAGGAGACUGGAAUUCAUGGUGUAGCAGUGAAAUGCGUAGAGAUCAUGAGGAAGACCAGUGGCGAAGGCGGGUCUCUGGACAGUUCCUGACACUGAGGCACGAAUGCCAGGGGAGCAAACGAG